AUUGAACGCUGGCGGCAGGCCUAACACAUGCAAGUCGAACGAGUGGCGGACGGGUGAGUAAUGUCUGGGAAACUGCCUGAUGGAGGGGGAUAACUACUGGAAACGGUAGCUAAUACCGCAUACCAUCAGAUGUGCCCAGAUGGGAUUAGCUUGUUGGUGGGGUAACGGCUCACCAAGGCGACGAUCCCUAGCUGGUCUGAGAGGAUGACCAGGCCACAUUGGAAUGGGAACAGGUCCAGACUCCUAAGGGAGGCCGCAGGGGGGAAUAUUGGAACAUGGGGGCAAGCCCGAUGGAGGCAUGCCCGGGUUAAUGAGAAGGCCUUUGGGGUGUAAAAUACUUUUAGGCGGGGAGAGUUACCCGCAGAAGAAGCACCGGCUAACUCCGUGCCAGCAGCCGCGGUAAUUC
rnacentral:rRNA from 1 species